CUUGAACGCUGGCGGCAGGCCUAACACAUGCAAGUCGAGCGCGCGGCGGACGGGUGAGUAAUGUAUGGGGACUGCCCGAUAGAGGGGGAUAACUACUGGAAACGGUGGCUAAUACCGCAUACUAUCGGAUAACCCAUAUGGGAUUAGCUAGUAGGUUGGGUAAAGGCUCACCUAGGCGACGAUCUCUAGCUUGUCUGAGAGGAUGGUCCGCCAGACUGGGACGGAGACACGGCCCAGUCUCCUUCGGAGGCAGCAGGUGGGAAUAUUGCACAAUGGGCGCAAGCCUGAGGCAGCCAUGCCGGGUGUAUGAAGAAGGCCUUAGGGUUGUAAAGGACUCUCAGCGGGGCGGCUUUACCCGCAGAAGAAGCACCGGCUAACGCCGCGCCAGCAGCCGCGGUAAUAC
rnacentral:rRNA from 1 species